rnacentral:snoRNA from 1 species
GGCCUCCAGUGUUUACCACAGGCUGGGUUCUUAUACUGACUGUAUGGAAAGAGGAUAUAGAGUAAUUCACUCCAUAUUAAAAAGAAAAAA